AAGUUCAGAGCCCUUUUUUGUGGAGAUCCUGCCACUACAAUGAAGUUGGCAAUCAUGCUGUUUGUUUUGGCGAGGUUUGGCAGCACCAUAACUAUUUGGAAGAUCGCCAAAUUGGGGUUUUUUGGAGUAUUCAGCUUACCAAAGAUAUGCUCAUCGUAUU